rnacentral:rRNA from 1 species
ACGCUCGACACCUACGGGAGCCAGCAGUCGGGAAUAUUGCGCAAUGGAGGAAACUCUGACGCAGUGACGCCGCGUAUAGGAAGAAGGUUUUCGGAUUGUAAACUAUUGUCGUUAGGGAAGAAAAAAGACAGUACCUAAGGAGGAAGCUCCGGCUAACUACGUGCCAGCAGCCGCGGUAAUCUGAGCGGGCUGGCAAGGC